UGCAGCCUGGAGCGUCCCAUGUCAUGCGGUCCCGUCACAUGCGGUCCCGUCUCAUGCCGAGGCUUUCCAACGGUACACAUCAGUGUCUUUAAAAGAAAUAGCACACCCCCGGUGACACGAUGCACGGUGUGCUGUACCGACCAUCAUUGCCCCCUUUGCCCCAUUUCCAUAUACAAGCCCCGGUGUAGGGCAAAGGUUUUGCAGCACAUGGAGGUGCAUGUAAAGAAUGCCAUUCAACAUGAAGAUUUCUUCAUAACAAAAUGCCACCAGGCUUGCAGGAGUGGAAGCAGUGGUCACUUCCACUGCCCUUUCUGCCUCAAGACCACAAUAAAAAGGCAGGCUAUACAGAGGCAUUUGCCGAUCUGUAGGCCACCUCUCCAUGAUGCCCAGUUGAAUGCUGAUGCAGACUGCAGAGAGAUGGGCAUCAAUUCCCAGACAGAGGAGUGCAAAGCAGGAUCUGUGAACCUACCUCAUCUCGGCACUGACAAACUGCCUGUAUCAGUACAGUAUAGUGAAAUACAAGGACAAAGAGACCCAGCAGAGAGACCCCAAGACCCACUGCCAGAAUCCUUCUUGCCGUUCCUUCUUGCUAACCUGGCCAACCCUCCCUGCAGAGUGCGCUGUGCAAAUUUGCCAAAUGUAACCGGAAGAAUCCUUUUACUGUCCAUCCCAGCUAUCAUUUUUGGGCACCUUGGAUUGGGCAAGGCACACGAAGGUCCAACACUGUGCUAAACACAGAGUUUUUAAAAGCUCAAGGUCCAAGAAACUCAGCAGAGGCAGAUGACAUCAAUAUUACUGAAGACAGACUCUCAAAUGAAUUGAUGAAUUUGAAGGUGGAUGCAGUACGUACACUCUGUAAGGAAUGUGGUGUCGACUCUUGUGGUUCUAAGAUCUAAUUCUGCGCCUCAGAACCGAAAUGCAAAAUAGACAGGCCUACGACCAAGUGUUUCAGAAGAUCUGGGGAGCAUCAGGUGGUUUGGCUGCCAUCAUGUGUCCCUGCGGUGUUUUGUACAGCUUGAAGUUUAACAUCAGAGCAGAAGGCCCUAGAGACUUUGCAGAUAUGCUUCUGUCGUGGAAACAUAUGCCCAAUAUAUCAGUCUAUGACUUUGCACGAGGUCUUGUAAACCACACCAAUGUGAGAGUGCCAGAAAAUCCACCAUUCCAGCCAAAUGAAGGCCGUCUUGCUCCUCCAACCCCUGAGAACAUACAGGCUGCCAAGGACCGAACACUGAAGAUCCACCUUCCGUGGCUUUUGGAGCCAAACACUGAAAACUUUAAAGAUGUUAGUCAUCCGGUUACUAAAUCCUCUCAACAUUAUGUCUUGUGUGACAAGCUACAUGAAGGUAUGCAAGGAUGAGAAGGACAUGCUCAGGAGAAUUGAACUUGUACCGGAGCUUGCAGGUCAGCUCAACAGCCAAGUGGCUGAACAGUUCUUCGCAAAUAUGCGGAAGAACAAUUAUUUCAUUAACAAUAUGUCGCCUUCAGCUCACAUUUUUCUGGUGCGAAACAUUGUUCAUCACCACAAUGAAAAAAAAAGAGAGACAAACCAUUGAGAAGAUGAAAAGAAAUGUGAGGAAUGUCAGUAUCACACUGGACACACUUGGGAAGGCAGUGGCAGCUCCACAGACUUUAUUGGGCACUCAGACUUCAUUGGAACCCACAAGAAAUCUUGAUGGACCAACUCCUGAAAGGGAAACUUCCCUGUGUGACAUACAGCCACAGCAGCCC